rnacentral:lncRNA from 1 species
AUGGUGCCCCCUGGGUGCACUGACACUCCAUGCAGCUGCCUGGCUGUGGCCUCUGCUCAGCUGUCCCUGCAGCCAGAGGAGAACAAUGCAGGAGUGGCAGGUGUUCAGUGCCCCAGGGGCUGUGAGGAUCUAGUUAGGGAAGGGCUGGGGCCCAGGCCAUGGGAGCAUGAAUCUCUGAGCCUUGACCCAAGGUCUGAGGUCCCAGGGAGGGGCAGAUGCCCCAGGACAGGAGCCCUCAGAAUCCUGCCUGGGCCCCGGCUCACUGUCAGUCUUCAGCGGGGUGGAGACAGGGGCCAAGAUGGAGAGAGAUGGGGACACUGUUCAGUGCUGGGCUCUGGGAAGAGCACAGAGAUGGCAGGAGCCAUGGCCUUCCAGUUUCUGCCCCCUCUCACAGAGUCAGUGAGGGUUCCCUAGGAACUGAGCUGGCUGCAGGGGAGGGGGAAUGACAGAAAUCGGAAUCAGCACUGGCUGGCACCCUUUCCUCAGGCCUGGCAAUUAUCUAGUCACAAAUCACACAGAAAUGGCAGAGUAACCACUUCUGAGAGCCUGGUGGACCACUGGGGAGGCUGUAAAAAUUCAGUCAGCUGUCUGACCCAGUGCUGUGGAGACAGCCAGACAU